rnacentral:lncRNA from 1 species
CUUCAGGAACCGCCCUGUGAUGUCAGAACUUUGAGGCCGCCCGGCCAGGGCUGCACAUGCUCAGUGAGGUCGGCGCCCGCCAGUAACAAACAUGGCUCCCUGAAGCCGCUCAGGCUCAAGAGCAACAUGGAGGUCUGCACUUAAUCGCUCCUCUCCGGGGGCGGCCAUACCGAGGAGGCGUCUCUUCCGUGCAGGCAGGCUCUCCUGGGGACCUCAGAGAUUCUCUCCAGCGGCAGCGGAAAACGGACAAUGGGUGGAUUCGGGUCCAGAUUCUGGUAGGAGGGAGUUUGGGAUCGAGAUCUGGAAAAAAGCACUAGACUGGAAGAGGACGCGAUGGAGUCGGAGCCGCUGGCGGGGACAAAAACCAGAGGCCGGGGAAGGCGCCGGUGGGAGGCAAGGCACGGAUGGACUUUACCUGCGCACGCGUCGCAGCCAUCUCCGCGCACAGUGGUGGCCACCGCGACUGGUGCUGAAGUGUUGGCGCGUGCCGGGCGCUCCGCUGGGACCCGGGUUGCUGGCCCUGAGUCUCAGCUUUCUCAUCUGUACGGUUGGGACAAGUACAGUAACCCUCGCCCGUCAAGACGGGCCAGGGCUGUGGCGAGGGUCCACGCCUUAGAGCAGGUACCUAUCUUGUGCAGGGCCCUGAGAUGGGGUCUGACUCAGUUCCUGCGGGGAACUUCACCAGUGACCCAGUCAGUGCCCUUCAGUUAAAGACCACCAGGAGCACACUUGCAGGAGUAGGGCUGAUUGGAGCCAUUGUACAGUGUCGGGAACAUACCAGGACACUGAGAAUAGUGUCAUGUCAUAAGGACCCAGAGCAGAUGGACCCUGCUGUGAUGCACAAAGGUGAGGGUGCAGCUGCCCAGGACACACUCAUGCAUGUUUGU